GAUUUUAGUGGGUAAGUUAAUCUCUAUCCUGAAAAUCUCCUGUAAAGAAGAAAUUUAUUCUUGUAGAAUUCUAAAACAAAUGUAUUGAAGCAAAAUCAGAACGCUUGUUCAGAGUGGACUAUAUCUUUGUUAGGUUGACCGCUUUGCUUCCUCUGUAGCACCACCAAAUGUUGACCACCUCCUCAUCCGAUGGUUGUGUACAAGUUCACCAGCUGACCUCAGGGGAUCCCAUUCCUGUUUCAUCCUUGAAAGUUCAUAAUAAUGAGGCCUGGAUCACAGUUUCAAUUACUGAGACACCAAUGUUGUCUGCACAGGUUUGAUUGUUAGCUAGAAUAUGAAAAAAAAGUCUUCUUCACCAAUAUUCUUCAGUAAAAGCUAUGAUGAGCACCUCCUUGCGUGGAACUGCAGACAGAUGAAGCAUCCACUGGCAGACACACAUUUAGGCGGGACAUCUGUAGGGUCAAUUGGCACCCUGGUCACACACAGCCACGAUGUACAAUGGUUACCAUGUGGUGGACACAAAAUAUAUCUCAGAUGGAAAGAUGGAUGUAGUACAACACUAUGACAGAAAUGUUUCCCUUGGUUACGGUGCUGAUUGGUGUCAUAGCAACGUCUACAACAGCCUCGUAGCAACGUGAUCAUUUUAUAAUUAUUCCUUGCAAUUAUGGAAUUUUACAAUGAAAAACUAGGAUGUUUGAUAAAUAGAAGUAAUUUUGGAAAAAAGUUUAUUCUUUUCUUUUGGUUGUUAUUUUUUUUCAAUUUUGCAAUGUUAAAAAGAUCACAGUUCCAAUUUUGUUUGUUCCAAAGAAAUUUUUCGUGAGGAUAACUCCGUGGGUCCAAUACAUAUUAUAUAACUUUAUGUAAAGUUAUGGAAAUUUUUAAUGAUAUUGAUAUAGUAUGUUUUAGGGUUUUCUUUUUAAAAGAUUUGGCUGAAUUCACAAUUGUAUUACGUGUGUAAUGUUGCAUUAAAGACAUCUUUGUAUUGCUAAUAAAAUAUUAGGAACGCCCACUUAAAUAAUCUGACCAAAGAAACAUUUAAAUGUUAUAUUUACAUUCCCCAGUGUCUUGUCUGUAAU